UUAUCCCAUUGUCUUCUAUGGCUUUUUAUUCCUAUGUGAUUAUAUUGCUAAUUUCAUAUAGGGAUUGAAGCCAUGCAAUACAUUGGGAACU
rfam:Ophiophagus hannah scaffold63.1, whole genome shotgun sequence.